rnacentral:rRNA from 1 species
GAUGAACGCUGGCGGCGUGCCUAAUACAUGCAAGUCGAGCGAACGGACGAGAAGCUUGCUUCUCUGAUGUUAGCGGCGGACGGGUGAGUAACACGUGGAUAACCUACCUAUAAGACUGGGAUAACUUCGGGAAACCGUAGCUAAUACCGGAUAAUAUUUUGAACCGCAUGGUUCAAAAGUGAAAGACGGUCUUGCUGUCACUUAUAGAUGGAUCCGCGCUGCAUUAGCUAGUUGGUAAGGUAACGGCUUACCAAGGCAACGAUGCAUAGCCGACCUGAGAGGGUGAUCGGCCACACUGGAACUGGGACACGGUCCAGACUCCUACGGGAGGCAGCAGUAGGGAAUCUUCCGCAAUGGGCGAAAGCCUGACGGAGCAACGCCGCGUGAGUGAUGAAGGUCUUCGGAUCGUAAAACUCUGUUAUUAGGGAAAAAAAUAUUUGUAAGUAACUGUGCACUUCUUGACGGUACCUAAGCAGAAAGCCACGGCUAACUACGU